ensembl:lncRNA
GCUGCUCUCUCUUCAGCCAACACCCAAAGCCACCCGCCAGGGUCACGGGGAUGAGACUUCACAAGGUUUUUCUCUUCCUGAGAUGCCUGUGAUGAUCAGAGCACUGUUAGUACUGAAGCUGGGCUUUCUUCAGACUUGUGUUGACUCAGUGUGACUCCCGCAAUUACAGCAUAUCUUUGUGUAAAACCAGACAGAAGAAAAGAAGAUGUGUGACCAGAGCCGAGAGACUGCUGGGUGAUCUGGUGAAGGAAUGACAUUAACAUAGAAAAGAGAUGCUGAUGGGGGAAAACAGAAUAGAUGGAUUCCUGGAGAAGAAAAGCAAUGAGAGUUCUCCCAGCCUUGCAACCAGCAGGAAAUGUGGAAGCUAGGAUGAGCACACAGGCACAAAGUGCUCAAGGAUAUUGGGUUAUCGCCCAGGGCUUCUGAAGAAGCAAGUGUUUGAUUCUUGAGGAACUCAAGAUUGUUAAUUAAACCCAUUUUGUGGUUUUACUUUUCAUCAGAAAUCAUUUAUGAUGAUCAGACUGUUAUUAUUAUUGUUAUUACAACAGCUGCAGUGAAGAAGUAGAGAAGAUAAAAUACAGAUGGGGUAGACUAAAGAUGGAAGAGUCUAAUAAAAGACAGCAAGCUAUUCUUCACCUACAACAAUAAGCAACUGUAAAAUAACUUGGUUAAUAAUGAAAAUUACAGGGCAAUUUUAAACUAGGGAACAGAAAAUCCUUAAAUAUUUGAAGGAUUUUUCCAUCAGUCCCCUACCUCUACCCCACACUACUUUCAGAUGACAAAUUAUGCUCUAUCUUCCCUCUUAGGCAUACUGUCUAGCUCUUGGGAAUAAAAGGCAAACUGUAGUUCUUCUUACUUCAACUCGAUGUCAAACACAGAAGAAUUCUAAGUAUCAAAACUGUUAAUUUGAAUUCCAGGCUGUCCUCAGCCAUAACUCAACAGGGACAUGUGGUCUUGUCAUCUUAGGGGCUUUGAUUACUUGUAAUUGUUGUGGUAAUUCUUCCAUUUUGGGGGUGUGCUGUUUUUGUACUUAGUCUUCUUGGUGAGGCUCUCACCAAGUCCUUUCAGGAACCACAGCUGUGCAAUGUGACUAAUUUAUCUUUCAUCUUACUUUACACCUUUUGCUUCGAGCAUUUAUGUUAUAUUCACACCUAUUAGCAAACUGCAUAUCUUCUUAUGCCUACCCUGGUAUUAUAUACACAUUUUUUGUCACCCACUGUUAACUUGGCUUCACAAUAGCUAUCUGCCUAGCUCUUUAGUUUUCUUUUCUCAGACUCUUUGCCCUGUAUCACUUGUUGGUUGGCCUAGUAAAACUGUUGCUCUGCCAAAAAGCCAUGCAAAAAAAAAAUGACAUUUCUGUUUGAAAUUGCUGCUAGACACACCAGACUAUAGAGGAAUGAUACAGAUAAGAAAAAUAGAGUUCAUUUCUGGAAAGUUAUGUUCUCAGCUUAAAGAGGCAUAUCCAGGCAGCAGCUUGUGCAGUGGCCAUUUCAAGCUG